CUACGUGCCAGCAGCCGCGGUAAUACGGAAGGUCCGGGCGUUAUCCGGAUUUAUUGGGUUUAAAGGGAGCGUAGGCCGGAGAUUAAGUGUGUUGUGAAAUGUAGACGCUCAACGUCUGACUUGCAGCGCAUACUGGUUUCCUUGAGUACGCACAACGUUGGCGGAAUUCGUCGUGUAGCGGUGAAAUGCUUAGAUAUGACGAAGAACUCCGAUUGCGAAGGCAGCCGGCGGGAGCGCAACUGACGCUGAAGCUCGAAGGUGCGGGUAUCGAACAGGAUUAGAUACCCUGGUAGUCCGCACGGUAAACGAUGGAUGCCCGCUGUCGGCGCCUUGCGCCGGCGGCCAAGCGAAAGCGUUAAGCAUCCCACCUGGGGAGUACGCCGGCAACGGUGAAACUCAAAGGAAUUGACGGGGGCCCGCACAAGCGGAGGAACAUGUGGUUUAAUUCGAUGAUACGCGAGGAACCUUACCCGGGCUUGAA
rnacentral:rRNA from 1 species